rnacentral:misc_RNA from 1 species
GACGUAGAUUUCAGAACGUGUUUUACAAACUCAAUCGACAUCGUGUUCUUUACCCGCUGUGGCUCUUCUUUUUGUUCAACGUCUUCACUCUGAAACAGCUGACAAUCGAUGAAACGGAAAAUGCUGAAGUUAAAGAAUUGGAUAUUGUUAAGCACAUCAUUGAGCAUCAAUCAUCGGCUAGUUUUCAGGAAUCUUAAAAAGUGAAAACAAUUCUCAUGUGGAAUCCGUGGUACGGCGACUUUGGUUUCACGUUGGAUGACGACUCUUCUUUCAGUCGUAUGGGGUGCAAGGUCACAAAUUGCGUCCUGUCGAAAAACUUUUCCUGAGUGGGAAAUCUUAAAGGCGGAAAGGCUUGAGAAAGAAGCCUUGACUCUCCUAACCCCGGCGCAGAGAGCUCAGUUCGACGAGGACGAAGCCCUCAUACGUCGGGAUAAUAGAGAGGCACAGAACGCUCUAAGAGGAGAGGUUCGCGCAGCAAAAAAGAGGAAACGAGACGAGGUGGAAGAGGCUAAGAUACGCCUGGUAGAAAAAGAAGCAAAAGACAAGCGCGAGGAGUACGAACGCUCUAAGCGUCGUAGGGUUAACCCUCAAGUUUGUCAGGGUAACUCGGCAUUUCACAUGGAAGAACCGCCUUGAAGUGGAUUUUGCUGCUCGUUAAAUAAAAUAAAUAAAUCAAUCAAUCAAUAAAAAACCGACUAGAAGGUAA